rnacentral:rRNA from 1 species
GAAUUCGAUUCAGGCCUAACACAUGCAAGUCGAACGAACCCUUCGGGGUUAGUGGCGCACGGGUGCGUAACGCGUGGGGAUCUGCCCUUUGCUUCGGAAUAACAGUUAGAAAUGACUGUUAAUACCGGAUGAUGUCGAAAGACCAAAGAUUUAUCGGCAAAGGAUGAACCCGCGUAGGAUUAGCUAGUUGGUGGGGUAAAGGCCUACCAAGGCGACGAUCCUUAGCUGGUCUGAGAGGAUGAUCAGCCACACUGGGACUGAGACACGGCCCAGACUCCUACGGGAGGCAGCAGUGGGGAAUAUUGGACAGUGGGCGAAAGCCUGAUCCAGCAAUGCCGCGUGAGUGAAGAGGGCCUUAGGGUUGUAAAGCUCUUUUACCAGGGAUGAUA